UGAAACCAUAUGCGGAAUGGAUGAAGAAAAAUAAAAUAAAAAUGGAAAUAAUAAUAUAUUCAUUUUUAUUGCUGAUUCUGGGCCUGGGCCAUGGGCUUGGCCCAAAAGAAAGCCUUCCGGGAGAUGCGCAAGAAUUGGAUUGGACAUCAAUCUCUGAAACAGGGGAACGAGAUUGGAGAGACGGAGGGAGGGAGGGAACGGCGGCGAUGGGAUGGGAGGAUGAUGAUAUUACAUAAAUGCCAUGGACGGAGUUUCGUCGUCGAUCUCCGUCGGUAACUGCGAUGUGCCACAAAUCUCGAAAGUAGAGUACAGUUACAGGGAGAACAAAACUAGGGGCUAUUCUGAACAUAUUCGAGCUAAAAAAUGGAUCCGACUGAAGAAGCCGAUGUUGGUCAGUUAGUUUACGGGGUGAAUCAGUCGACAUUGGAUUUUCACUGACAGUCAUUCGUCGAUCCACUGGCUCAUCCAAUAUCAAAGGGACCGAUCAACCAUAGGAAAAAAAAUUUCAAAAGAUCAGCAUUCAGAGAGAGAGAGAGAGCUAUAAGUUAAAUAAGAGAAUAAAUAAUAACUUAAAGAGUAGAGUGGAUGAAAGAAGAGAGAUGGAGAGGGAAAAAGGAGAGGAUAUUGUUGAAAGGGAAAAAAAAAGAGUGACUAAUAGACAGCCGUGUGAGUGAAGAUGUUUGAAAGAAAAUAAAGAUCGUUUAAUUGUAUAUAUUUGAAUAUUGAAAA